rnacentral:rRNA from 1 species
UACAGAGGGUGCGAGCGUUAAUCGGAAUUACUGGGCGUAAAGCGCACGUAGUCGGCUUUGCAAGUCGGUUGUGAAAUCCCCGGGCUCAACCUGGGAACUGCAUCCGAGACUGCAUUGCUAGAGUAUGGGAGAGGGAAGCGGAAUUUCUGGUGUAGCAGUGAAAUGCGUAGAUAUCAGAAGGAACAUCAGUGGCGAAGGCGGUUUCCUGGACCAAUACUGACGAUCAGGUGCGAAAGCGUGGGGAGCAAACAGG